GAUGAACGCUGACAGAAUGCUUAACACAUGCAAGUCUACUUGAUUCUUCUUCGGGAGAUGAAGGUGGCGGACGGGUGAGUAACGCGUAAACAAUCUGCCCUUCAGUCUGGGAUAUCAGUUGGAAACGACUGUUAAUACCGGAUAUUAUGAGAUUGUCGCAUGAGGGACUCAUGAAAGCGAUAUGCGCUGGAGGAGGAGUUUGCCUUCCAUUAGCUAGUGGGUGAGGUAACGGCUCACCAAGGCGACGAUGGAUAGCCGGCCUGAGAGGGGGAACGGCCACAAGGGGACUGAGACACGGCCCUUACUCCUACGGGAGGCAGCAGUGGGGAAUAUUGGACAAUGGGCCACGAGCCUGAUCCAGCAAUUCUGUGUGCACGAUGAAGGUCUUUGGAUUGUAAAGUGCUUUCAGUUGGGAAGGGGAAAGUGACGGUACCAACAGAAGAANCGACGGCUAAAUAUGUGCCAGCAGCCGCAGUAAGAC
rnacentral:rRNA from 1 species